CCUACGGGUGGCAGCAGUGGGGGAUAUUGGACAAUGGGGGGAACCCUGAUCCAGCGACGCCGCGUGAGUGAAGAAGUAUCUCGGUAUGUAAAGCUCUAUCAGCAGGGAAGAAGAAAUGACGGUACCUGAGUAAGCAGCCCCGGCUAACUACGUGCCAGCAGCCGCGGUAAUACGUAGGGGGCAAGCGUUAUCCGGAUGUACUGGGGGGAAAGGGAGCGUAGACGGAAGAACAAGUCUGGAGUUAAAUCCCGGGGCUUAACCCCGGAACUGCUUUGGAAACUGUGCGGCUGGAGUGCAGGAGGGGUAAGCGGAAUUCCUAGUGUAGCGGUGAAAUGCGUAGAUAUUAGGAGGAACACCGGUGGCGAAGGCGGCUUACUGGACUGUAACUGACGUUGAGGCUCGAAAGCGUGGGGAGCAAACAGGAUUAGAUACCCUUGUAGUC
rnacentral:rRNA from 1 species